rnacentral:rRNA from 1 species
GACGAACGCUGGCGGCGUGCCUAAUACAUGCAAGUAGAACGCAGUUGCGAACGGGUGAGUAACGCGUAGGUAACUGCCUGGUAGCGGGGGAUAACUAUUGGAAACGAUAGCUAAUACCGCAUACUAGCAGAUGGACCUGCGUUGUAUUAGCUAGUUGGUUGGGUAACGGUCCACCAAGGCAAAGAUACAUAGCCGACCUGGGAGGGGGAUCGGCCACACUGGGACUGAGACACGGGCCAGACUCCUACGGGAGGGAGCAGUAGGGAAUCUUCGGCAAUGGGGGGAAACCUGACCGAGCAACGCCGCGUGAGUGAAGAAGGUUUUCGGAUUGUAAAGCUCUGUUGUUAAGGAAGCGGUACUUAACCAGAAAGGGACGGCUAACUACGUGCCAGCAGCCGCGGUAAUAC